UACGGAGGGGGCUAGCGUUGUUCGGAAUUAUUGGGCGUAAAGAGCUCGUAGGCGGUUUGUCGCGUCGGCCGUGAAAUCUCCACGCUUAACGUGGAGCGUGCGGUCGAUACGGGCAGACUUGAGUUCGGUAGGGGAGACUGGAAUUCCUGGUGUAGCGGUGAAAUGCGCAGAUAUCAGGAGGAACACCGGUGGCGAAGGCGGGUCUCUGGGCCGAUACUGACGCUGAGGAGCGAAAGCGUGGGGAGCGAACAGG
rnacentral:rRNA from 1 species